rnacentral:rRNA from 1 species
CCUACGGGAGGCAGCAGUGGGGAAUCUUGCGCAAUGGGCGAAAGCCUGACGCAGCCAUGCCGCGUGAAUGAUGAAGGUCUUAGGAUUGUAAAAUUCUUUCACCGGGGACGAUAAUGACGGUACCCGGAGAAGAAGCCCCGGCUAACUUCGUGCCAGCAGCCGCGGUAAUACGAAGGGGGGCUAGCGUUGCUCGGAAUUACUGGGCGUAAAGGGAGCGUAGGCGGAUAGUUUAGUCAGAGGUGAAAGCCCAGGGCUCAACCUUGGAAUUGCCUUUGAUACUGGCUAUCUUGAGUAUGGGAGAGGUUAGCGGAACUCCGAGUGUAGAGGUGAAAUUCGUAGAUAUUCGGAAGAACACCAGUGGCGAAGGCGGCUAACUGGCCCAUUACUGACGCUGAGGCUCGAAAGCGUGGGGAGCAAACAGGAUUAGAUACCCUGGUAGUCCACGCCGUAAACGAUGAGUGCUAGUCGUCGGCAUGCAUGCAUGUCGGUGACGCAGCUACGACAUAAGACACUCCGCCGUCGGGGAGGUACGGUCGGCGAAGAAGUUAAACGUUAAAGUUAGUAAGUUAGUUACGGUCGUUGAGACGUUGCCGACGGCGACGACGAGGGGAGGAGG